rnacentral:piRNA from 1 species
UGAGAGUAAAUUCUGUGCUAUGCGUAUA